ensembl:snRNA U6 U6 spliceosomal RNA
GUGCUCGCUUCGGCAGCACAUAUACUAAAAUUGGAAUGAUAUAGAGAAGAUUAGUAUGGAUCCUGUGCAAAGAUGACAAGCAAACUCGUGAGGCAUUCAGUAUUUAA